rnacentral:rRNA from 1 species
ACAUGCCUACAAAAUGGCAUUAAGGCACCAGAUCCCAUUAGAACUUCGUAGUUAAGCGCACUCGGGCUAGAGUAAUACUGGGAUGGGUGACCACCCGGGAAGUCCUAGUAUUUUACAUGCA